AGGUUUUCACUCUAGUACUUAAUACAUAAGGUGAAAAAAUGUUACGUGAUUUUUGAGGGCAUUUUAAAUGAGUAAAAAUCUAGGUCACUUUUUACAUUGAUGUGAAAUCUCCUUUAAAAGGAAACCAUACAUUCAUUAAAGGUUAAGCAUAAGCAGGCCACCCAUCAGCAGCAUUAUAUUAUCACAUGUAAAGUCAAACAGAUUUCAAAGUCGCAGCUGCCUUGUGCUGAACUACCAGGCUCCAAGAUGUUGAGCGUGAUCCAAAUAAAAGAAAACUGUUCUCAUGACUGGAUAUUAUAAUGUGACUUCCUCAUGUAAGCUGCUCUGACUUUUCAUGACAUGUGAUACUAACAGGAGACAAAAGGAGAACUUUAACUGUGCUUUGUCAUGUUUCCACAGAAUGCCACCCAUAAGAGAACUGCUGGUGCUGUAGUUGCAUGUUAAACUCAGAAUUAGGAAUAAGUGCACGCUAUGAAAACGGAAGGGUGUGAGCUUGCUGGACAGGACUAGGGAGCAUAAGACAGCUUCAUCUACACAAUGUAGCAUUGCUUCCUGUGGGAGUGUUGGAAUGUGUGCCAUAUGGAGCAGUACGACAGAAGGGAAUGCUAUGCUUCACGCCAUGCAAUCAUGUUACUGUGUCAAAACAAUCUUAUGAAGUGCUGUCACAAUGCCAUGAUCCCUACAAGAAGAAUCAUCUGCCACAGGAUGCAGCCAAAAGAAAGGAAACAAAAACAUCUUGGCUUGUAGGCUGACUGCUAAAGCUUUGAAGGUGUCACACUGUUAGUUCAAGUGUGAAACUGAACUAAUGGCUUCAGGUAAUGGCACUUGAUAACCUUGAUACAUCAGCAACUGUUUUCUCAGUGAUACAACUCUGUACAGUCUUCAGAUGUACAUAACCUGAAACUUUAAUCAUAACUGUGCUCACUUUAAAAUUCUAGCUGUAACAUCAUGGUUCUCUGUCGCAUCAUCCUUUUCGUUAGCUAUCAGACCUAGACUAAGCUUGAAAUCAGUCACAUUUGGGAAAUACUCAAAGCUGGCUACAGAAAAUAAAAUAAGUAAUCCAACCAAGGGAUCAAGGAUUAGACAUUCCCUUAGAAGGUCAACAAACCAUGAGGCAUAACAUAAACCAAAGAUGAAAGGCUGAUAACAGCAGCUUAAGGUCACGGAAUAUCCACAAGAAUUCGCUCCUAACAGCAGCUUUGAACAGAAUUGAGGACGCUCUUAUAAUACAAGCAUGUAAUGCAGAAACUGAACUUUUAUCACAGCAGGGCUAUGAAGACACCUUACUAAUUAAUAGUGCUGGCAUGGUUAUAUGAAACGUGACUCAUGGUACAUUUGUCCCAUAUUUGAGACACAGCAUGACAAACAUUAAUAGAUUCUAAAAGUUUUAUAGCAGUAAAAAGUAGCACUGUGAUGUUGUUUAUGCACUAUAUAUAGCUGCUUAUUUUACAAGAAAACUGAAUUAUUUUAAUGAAUAAUUUUAACACUGCCAGUCUGUUAGUAAUAUUUGCAAACCUAGUUAAAACAAAAACAGGGACAGUAGGAGAUACGUGUGAGAACAACCCGAAAGGUUUUUCAGUUGAUCACAGAUGUCAUUUUCAAAGUGCCCAAAUCCUGUAAGCAGUUCUUCCUUUAACCCACCAGCAGUGACUCAAGACACAAGCUCAUGUGAUUCAGCUCAGUUUGUAUUUCUGUGGGGAAGUAAGCCCAUUACGUAUUAUUUUUGUUAAUUUGGUGAAGUAAGUCCUUUACAUAUUCUUUUUGUUCAUUUUGGCAUAGUUAAAUCUUACAGAUUCUGACAGGUGAAGGACGCAAGAUCCAGGCAUACUACCCACAUUUUCUUUUGGGAAAAGCUGCUUAAGGACAUAACAGUUUAGUAAAGUUUUUGCACUGUUUAACUGCUCUGAGUCAUAUGUAAUGCAUUUUAUUCUUGCACACUGCUUAGCUGCAUUCUGUUACUGUUUUGAUUUCAAGUGGCUUUCCCAUUUUUAAUACAGUGAAUAUUAUCUUGCACAUA